AUACAGAGGGUGCGAGCGUUAAGCGGAAUUACUGGGCGUAAAGCGCGCGUAGGCGGCUUAUUAAGUCAGAUGUGAAAUCCCCGGGCUCAACCUGGGAACUGCAUCUGAUACUGGUAAGCUAGAGUUUUGGAGAGGGAAGUAGAAUCUCAGGUGUAGCGGUGAAAUGCAUAGAGAUCUGAAGGAAUACCAGUGGCGAAGGCGACUUCCUGGCCAAAAACUGACGCUGAGGUGCGAAAGCGUGGGUAGCAAACGGGAGUAGAUACCCUAGUAGUCC
rnacentral:rRNA from 1 species